CACGUCUUGAGAGUGUCCUUGUAGCAUGAAGAGUCUUCAAAACUUGUCGAGUCGCCGAAGGAGAUAACGAAGAGAUGGCACAUCAGAGGUAGACACCGCAUCACUUGAAGAUACAAGAUAAGUAUCAAGAGAAGAUGGGUUGUCAAAAGAAGAUGUCACAUCAGAGGAAGACACCGAAGAGAUGCCACAUCAGAGGAAGACACCGCAUCACUUGAAGAUACAACAUAAGUAUCAAGAGAAGAUGGGUUGUCAAAAGAAGAUGGCACAUCAAGAAAAUAAAGCAUUGUGCAGAAAUUCAUAGUCCACGACAACCGUCGGCGAAAGAAGCUCGGCGGAUAAGGCACGAUGGAC
rnacentral:lncRNA from 1 species